CUACGGGUCGCUGCAGUGAGGAAUAUUGCACAAUGGGGGGAACCCUGAUGCAGCAACGCCGCGUGGAGGAUGACGCAUUUCGGUGUGUAAACUCCUUUUAUAUGUCAAGAAAAUGACGGUAGCAUAUGAAUAAGCACCGGCUAACUCCGUGCCAGCAGCCGCGGUAAUACGGAGGGUGCAAGCGUUACUCGGAAUCACUGGGCGUAAAGGACGCGUAGGCGGGUUGGAAAGUCAGGUGUGAAAUCCUACAGCUUAACUGUAGAACUGCAAUUGAAACUUCUAAUCUAGAGGAUGGGAGGGGGAGAUGGAAUUAGUGGUGUAGGGGUAAAAUCCGUAGAUAUCACUAGGAAUACCUAAAGCGAAGGCGAUCUCCUGGAACAUUACUGACGCUAAGGCGUGAAAGCGUGGGGAGCAAACAGGAUUAGAUACCCGAGUAGUC
rnacentral:rRNA from 1 species